rnacentral:rRNA from 1 species
GAUGAACGCUGACAGAAUGCUUAACACAUGCAAGUCGAUGGGGCAGUGGUGCUUGCACCAUGGUAACCAUGUAGGACGGGUGAGUAACGCGUAAGGAACUUGCCUGCGGGACUGGGAUAACAGCAGGAAACUGCUGAUAAUACCGGCUAAGGUCAUUAAGCUGCAUAGCUUAGUGAUGAAAGGAGACGCCUGCGGAGAGCCUUGCGUCCUAUUAGCUAGUUGGAGGGGUAACGGCCGACCAAGGCGAAGAUAGGUAGCCGGCCUGAGAGGGUGGACGGCCACAAGGGGACUGAGGUACGGCCGUUACUCCUACGGGAGGCAGCAGUGGUGAAUAUUGGACAAUGGGGGCAAACCUGAUCCAGCAAUUCUGUGGGCACGAAGACGGUUUUCGGAUUGUAAAGUGCUUUCAGCAGGGAAGAAGGAAGUGACGGUACCUGCAGAAGAAGCGACGGCUAAAUACGUG